rnacentral:rRNA from 1 species
UACGUAGGGUGCAGGCGUUAAUCGGAAUUACUGGGCGUAAAGCGUGCGCAGGCGGUUUGCUAAGACAGGUGUGAAAUCCCCCGGGCUUAACCUGGGAACUGCGCUUGUAACUGGCAAGCUAGAGUGCGGAAGGGGCAUCUGGAAUUCCCAGUGUAGCGGUGAAAUGCGUAGAUAUUGGGAAGAACACCUGAGGCGAAGGCGGGAUGCUGGGCCGACACUGACGCUGAGGAGCGAAAGCGUGGGGAGCGAACAGG